GCCUUCGUGGUGUAGUGGUCAGCACGCUCGACGCGUAACCGAGAGAUCUGUGGUUCGAGUCCCGGCCGAGGGCA
rnacentral:tRNA from 1 species